rnacentral:lncRNA from 1 species
AUCUAUCAAUUCUAUAAAGCAAUACAUAUUGCAGCCUCCAUAGUGAUUCUCUCUCCUACAUGGCACUCCCACAAUCCUUUAUUUCAUAUUAUCUCAAAUGCUUUUUCCUCACGCCUAGCUUCAGCCUUCACAUCUUUUUUCCCACAAAUUUUACACAGCCACGCUUCAGCCGUUACAUCUCUCAAAGCUUCUCUCCCAAUAUGAGUUUCCAUCAAUCUUGCCACAAAUCUCAAACAAUCCGCUGUGUAAUUGAGAGAUUUAUUCUCUGUCGCAACUUCUCAAACAAUCGGUGCCGAAUCUUCCCACAAAUCUCAAACAACCGGCUCUGUAAUUGGGAGAUUCAGUCUCUCUCUGUCAAUUUCCAUUGCACAAAUUAGGGAGGUGCUUCAUCCAUGGCUGCAACAAAUUUGGGAGGUGCUUCAUCCAUGGCUGCA